UGUGAGCCAAGCGUGAACAAUUCAUGUCUCCAUGCUGGUCAACAGUGGAAGUCUCUUUGGCUUUGCUACCUUUGGAGAGUAAAGGGUGCAGUAUGACAUCAUGGUUAAGAGGGCUCAUUCUAGAAUGGCCAGCCUGUGCUCAAAUUGUGGUUUCUCCACUUAUUAGCUGAGGCACAUUUCUUAUUCUCUCUGAGCCUCAGCUUUCCUUAUUUGUAAUGUGUGACAGUAGGAUUUACCUCAUUGGGUUGUUCUGAGGGUUAACUGUGUUAAUAAAUACAAAGCAUUUGAAACAGUGCCUAAUAGUAUCUACUCAAUAAAUGCCGAUAUGGUUUGGCUGUGUGUCCCUACCGAAAUUUCAUCUCAAAUUAUAAUCCCCACAUGUUGAGGGAGGGACCAGGUGGAAAGUGAUUGGAUCAUAAGGGCGGUUUCCCUCAUCCUGUUCUGCUGAUAGUGAGUUCUCAUGAGAGCUGAUGGUUUUAUAUGGCAGUUUUCCCUGCUCUUACUUGCUCUCUCGCCUGCCACCAUGUAAGACAUGCCUCUUCCCCUUCGGCCAUGAUUGUAAGUUUCCUGAGGCUCCCCCAGCCAUGUGGAACUGUGAGUCAAUCAAACCUCCUUCCUUUAUAAACUUCCCAGUUUCGGGUAUUUCUUUAUAGCAGUGUGAAAACUAAUACAAAUGCUAACUAAAUUACUUGGAAUUCCCUGGUUUGGAGGUCUUUGCUUUUCUUUUUAAGUUCAUCUCUUGUGAAUUUCUCUUUGAAGAUAAAGCUGGUUCAGUUAAAAGCCCCAAUAGAAGGCCAGGUAGAAAUGAGGAAAACAAAUAUGGCCCAGGCAAGUGACUCUGAAUGUCCAUUCCUCAGGACAUGAGUCCUUUGUGGGUAAAGUGCUACAUGAAAAGAAAUAUCCUAUACUUAAAUAAAUAUGUUCUUUAUGAAAAAAAAAACAUAGUUAUACAAAGAUCAAAAGAUUCUUGACCAUGGCAUGACUUCUCAGAAUGCCAUGA
rnacentral:lncRNA from 1 species